rnacentral:lncRNA from 1 species
GCUAAGGGGAAGGUUUGUGAGUAUAAGCAGCUCAAGGAAACUCCAAAACAGAGGAUUGUACAGAGGCUGCAUGCAGCUGAGGGGGUGAUCUGCAUAGAAUCACAGCUGACUAUUGUGAUCUGUCACAAAAGCAAGGGAGUAGCUCUGCAUUAUCCUGGCGCAAGAGGAGAACCAAUUUUCAGUAUGUUUAUUAAACAGGACUCACUUGAGCACCUCUGCAAAACCAGUCCAGUGUCUUGAACACCAGGAUUCAGCAGGAAAAAGAAUACAGCAAAGUUUAGUGUCAUCUCUGAGAACUGCAUGCCUAGAAAAUGUCAUCAGUGUGAAUGUAUAUCUCUGUAUCUCAGCAAAGUCCUAGGCAGGUGGGCCAAAGGAUGGGAUGGCUGGCUUAAAAUAGCUCAAAUGUCCUGGUGACUGUGAAACAGCUUCACUUUAAGUAUUCUUAGUUGUCUUACUGACUGAGGCUCACAGGCUAAGUAAAUCCUCAGCAGUUUUCAGCUGAAACUAAAUCUGGGAGGAGUGAUUGAAUGCCAAAUGGUUGUGUGACCAUUCAGACGGACCUUGACUUCCAUAGCUACUGUCACAAGUGUGGCUUGUGCAGGCCCUGCAUGAGCAACACCAACACACCUAAGUAGCAAACUGGCAAUUUUCAUAUCAAGGCACAGGGCCUAACCUCAUGCUGCCACUGUUUAUUCUCAUCAGCACUUAAAAACUCAAAAGUGAAUGGAGCUCAAUUCAGCAAGAGUGCCAGGACAGGAUUCCUCUCUCAUGACUGCAGCUCUUAGUUCAGGGCAGAAGAUUCCAAGCUUCUCUUGAUCAACUCUGUCAGGAGAUGUGUGACCUUGGGUCACGUGGCACUUGAAAGCUUUCCUUUGGGUACACAAAAAAAGUUUUCUGAAGAAACAGAGAACCGACAAGGGGGAUGUGUGCAGCAGCACAUGAUUUUGUAGCUGUGGAGAGGCACUGGCCCUGCAACUGCAGUGAACUUCCAGCACGAGACUACCCUCAUGAAUGCAGGUGAUGCAAAGCCUGUAAAAAUUGCCAUUUGUAUGUGUGCAUGGUAAAAGCAGAGAGUUGGUCACAGACCUCUCAACAUCAGGAUGAUUUAUCCACAUUUGUGAGACCAGCUGUAGUGGGUUAGUCCCAGUCCAACACAGCCACUCACUCAUUCACUCUCCAUUAAGUGGAAUGUAAAAGGGUGUCAAAAGGGUAAACAUGUGAAAACUUAGGGGUUGAGAUA